UGUUGGUUUGAGAUGGUGCUGUAGGAGUCUGACGUAGAAGUAAAAGGAAAAAUAUACACACACAUUGAAGGAUUUUAAAAUGAACAGAAAGUUUAAGGAACUGUGAAGGUGAAAUCUGUGGCCUGCAGACCUGAGUACUACCAUGCCUCAUGCACAAGUCACAAAAUGUCCUCCAGUACCUCUGCCAGCAACAACUGCAUUUGAAGUCUCCCUCCUCAUUGGCAAUUUUCCUCUUGUCCCUGAUGUCCGAGCAGUCCAGGCUUUAAGUGGACAAGAAGCACCUCCAGCCGAGAGUUUGUCGAUGACAGUGGAGCCAAAAGAAAUCAAAACUAGAUGGGUUGCUGCCAUUGGUCCCUCAAGCUUGGUUCUUUUAUCCCCGAAUUCCUGAGAAUUCAACAGCUGUCAGGGCAGCAGGUUUCGUGCACGUUAUGUGAAAAACCAAAGACAAAAUGUUUAGAGCCAGGCACCACAACCAUU